rnacentral:lncRNA from 1 species
GGAAGACCCAUAGCACGGACGUGCCCGAGAGGACGCAGCCUGACGGCCGCAGGUGCCAGGUCUUCUUCCUCGACCCCGACGGAGAGGGAUUCAUUCUCGGGUGAUGCUUAAUGUUCGUUGGAUUCCUAUUUUCUAAACAGUAUUUACAGUUAUAAUUGUAAAUUGAACUUGCUAUCUCGGUGAUUUCUCUAUUCUUGGUCUAUACGUCCCAGGAUCUAGCAGUGGCAUGUUGAUUAGUAGUUGUGGUAUUGUAUAUUGCUACUCGCUGAUGGCAAGUUUGGUGGAUCGAUGCUAGGCUCCUUUCCAAUCAGCUGAAGCCAUGGAUUUUUUCUCUAUGUUUUGGUUUCGUACUGAUUAUAGUGUUGUCCUACUCGGCUUUCCUGCUUUCAUUUGGCACUGUAUCCGAUACCUUCUCAGCUUGCCCAGUCCAGGGGUUACUCUAAACUUGAUCUAGUAUUAGACUGAAACACUUUUUGAGUUCUUUAGAUGUUUCUUUCUUUCUCUGUAGCAAAAGAUCGGAGUGGGGAGCACUUUUUUCUUCAAAACAAUAUUUUGAUAAUAUAUCUGAAAACACAUGGACAGAAAUAUUAAUCACUGCACAAGCUUGAUAUGCUUAUACUAGAUUUUCGAGCAGUUCUGUAAAUUGAGAUUUCAUCCUCUUCUCGGAUAUUGUACACGGGAACAAACUAAUCUCAUCUACCCAUUAAAUUACCUGCAUGUGAAGUGGUUGUAUGCAUAGGACUGAAAUUCGUUAGACUUGCAAUAGGUGCCACUUCACUGAUUUCUGAGAGUUCACUAUCUAUUUGUCCAAUAAUGUCAUUGAAACUAAAAUCAUGAUAGUUUUGGUUUAGUGAAACAAUUGUAUUAGCUUUUUGGUCGUACUCAUUCGGCUUUUAUGACACUACGUUUGUAAAAAGAACAGUUGCAACUUUUUACCUUUUGUAUGUAGAAAAGAAGACUCUCUUUCUGUGUAUCUUUUUAAUUUGCAACAUUAACAUUGCAAUCUUGGAAUUGGGGCUGAUUUUCUCAAUUUCUGUUGUGCGUAUGCUGGAUAGAUUGAAGCUCGUCGACUAGUAGUACUAAGUUUGUUCUCCGCUAUUUUGUUGCUGCAUCUUGAACUGAAAUGAAGGGAAGUAGUGAGACAUCGCCUUCAGGAGAGCCCAUAAUUGCAAAAUUUGUACCAACACUAUCAGGUGAGAAGACGCAAUCCAAAAAAGCAAGAAUAUGUUGUCAUUACCUAAUUUUCCGUUAAUCCCUUCUUUGAUGUUUUUUGCUUAAUAUUUGUUUGCAGCCGUGGAAUCUGUCAAUAGUGUUCAAAAUCAAGAUUUCAGCGAUGCUACCUCUUUUGCAGAGAUUAAUUCUCCAAUGGUUCUCAUUGAUGAUGCGAGUACACCGAAAAAGAAACAAGCUUGCUCUCAAUAUUGUUCUUCUCAAACCCAUGACUUCUUUUGAGUGAUUAAAUUGUCCAAGUGGCUUCUCUGUCCAUGACUUCUUUUGAGGGAUUAAUUUUUCUCUAAUUUUCCUUCCAUGUCGUAUGUGCAGCAAGCAAUCAAAUUGUAUUGUUUAUACUCAUAUUACCACAAAAUCAUCAUUUCUUUCUUAACAUUAAGGAAAUGUUAAGUCACAAGAUAUAAUUAGCAGGAAAUAACCAUUGGAGGGAGUAAAUGGCUUACUGUUUUGACCUACUUGCGCUUGAUUUGGGAUAGACGACCUUCGGUUGCUAACCAGCCAUUGAGCCAUAAAACUUAUAAUGUAAUAUCAAUACAUCAGUACAGCCGGUCGUAAGCUGUUUGCGUUACGCAAGUCUUCUUGGGAUGAUGAGCUAUGUAAAUUGAUAUAAAUGUUCAAUUAUUGUCAAGCUGUGAAUAUAUUUUGCUGUAUGAUAUUGUUUUCAUUUUCUCUUCACUGGUCUGACAUGUGCCUUUGUGCUGCAGCAUGAAGUUUUUUGCUGAGUGGUGUCUCUCCCAGAAUGGCUUACUGUUUUGACCUACUUGCUCAUCAAUUAUUGUCAAGCUGUGAAUCAUGUUUGCUGAGUGGUGUCUCUCCCAGAACAAGAAGCUUGAUGAGCAAGAAGUAGUAGAACUGGAGGGAAAUGCUAGAGCUUAUCAUUUUAAAUAGCAAUGCAUGUUGAGUGAUGAUCAUAUUAGUCCUUAAUACUUUGUCUUGCUGGCCAUGUACUAAAAAUAGUGCUACCAUGUCUCAUCAAGAUAUGUAUGCUUGUGAUAUGCUCAAUCUGGGAUUGUCCAGUCUGAUGUUUAGUUAUGCUUCAAAGGGUGGCUUAAUUUGAUCUAUGUACUCACAUAUUUGUGAUAGAUAUUGACAUACUUU